rnacentral:rRNA from 1 species
CCCCUAGAUGUUCUGGGCCGCACGCGCGCUACACUGAACAGUUCAACAAGUCUUAACCUUGGCCGAUAGGUCUGGGUAAUCUUUGAACGCUGUUCGUGAUUGGGAUAGACCUUUGCAAUUAUGGGUCUUCAACGAGGAAUUCCUAGUAAACGCAAGUCAUCAGCUUGCAUUGAUUACGUCCCUGCCCUUUGUACACACCGCCCGUCGCACCUACCGAUUGAAUGGUUCGGUGAAAUCUCGGGACGGCGGCUUGGUCGCUUGCGUCCGACUGCUGAAACUUGAUUAAACCAUAUCAUUUAGAGGAAGGUGAANUCGUAACA